AGAACCCGGAUCCUCUCCAUGGUC
rnacentral:siRNA from 1 species